rnacentral:rRNA from 3 species
GGUUAAGCGACUAAGCGUACACGGUGGAUGCCUAGGCAAUCAGAGGCGAUGAAGGACGUGCUAAUCUGCGAUAAGCGUCGGUAAGGUGAUAUGAACCGUUAUACCCGACGAUUUCCGAAUGGGGAAACCCAGUGCAAUUCGUUGCACUAUCGUUUGAUGAAUACAUAGUCAAACGAAGCGAACCGGGGGAACUGAAACAUCUCAGUACCCCGAGGAAAAGAAAUCAACCGAGAUUCCCCUAGUAGCGGCGAGCGAACGGGGAGCAGCCCAGAGUCUUAAUCAGCAUUAGUAUCAGGAGAACGGUCUGGAAAGUCCGGCAGUAAAGGGUGAUAGCCCCGUAUCUGAAGAUAUUAGUGUUGUGAACUCGACGAGUAGGGCGGGACACGUGUUAUCCUGUCUGAAUAUGGGGGGACCAUCCUCCAAGGCUAAAUACUCCUGAUUGACCGAUAGUGAACCAGUACCGUGAGGGAAAGGCGAAAAGAACCCCGGCGAGGGGAGUGAAAUAGAACCUGAAACCGUGUACGUACAAGCAGUGGGAGCCUUGAUUUAUCAGGGUGACUGCGUACCUUUUGUAUAAUGGGUCAGCGACUUAUAUUCUGUAGCAAGGUUAACCG